rnacentral:tRNA from 1 species
GCCUCUUUAGCUCAGGGGCAGAGCGUUCCCCUAGUAAGGGAAAGGUCAGUGGUUCAAAUCCGCUAAGAGGCA